UCAAGCUACAAAGGGCGCAUGGAGGAUGCCUUGGCACCAGGAGCCUAAGAAGGACGCGAUAAGCUGCGAAAAGCUCUGGGUAGGCGCAAAUAGCCAGAGAACCAGAGAUAUCCGAAUGGGGAAACCCACCUAGAUAACGCUAGGUACUGCAAACUGAAUACAUAGGUUUGUAGAGGCAAACCCGGGGAACUGAAACAUCUAAGUACCCGGAGGAAGAGAAAGAAACAUCGAUUUCCUAAGUAGCGGCGAGCGAACGGGAAAGAGCCCAAACCAGGAACUUGUUCCUGGGGUUGCGGAUAGGCCAUAAAUACUGUGAAGUGUUAAUUGAAGAGAGCUGGAAGGCUCCGCCGGAGAAGGUAAAAGCCCUGUAAGUAAAAACAAAGAACAGUCAGGCCUAAUCCAGAGUACCACGAGACACGAGAAACCUUGUGGGAAACAGGGAGGACCACCUCCCAAGGCUAAAUACUACCUGGUGACCGAUAGAGAAGGAGUACCGUGAGGGAAAGGUGAAAAGAACCCCGGGAGGGGAGUGAAAUAGAACCUGAAACCGUGUGUCCACAAACAGUCGAAGUACGUAAAGUACGACGGCGUGCUUUUUGUAGAACGAGCCAGCGAGUUACGAUAUGCAGCAAGGUUAAGUACUUAAGGUACGGAGCCGGAGGGAAACCGAGUCUGAAAAGGGCGAGAAGUUGUGUGUUGUAGACCCGAAACCGAGUGACCUAUCCAUGGCCAGGUUGAAGCGGAAGUAAAAUUCCGUGGAGGACCGAACCACGUUGGUGUUGAAAAACCAUGGGAUGAGCUGUGGAUAGCGGAGAAAUUCCAAUCGAACUCGGAGAUAGCUGGUUCUCCUCGAAAUAGCUUUAGGGCUAGCGUCUGGUAAUUAAGUAAUGGAGGUAGAGCACUGAAUGGGCUAGGGGCUGACAACAGUUACUGAACCCUAUCAAACUCCGAAUGCCAUAUACUUGAAUCUCAGCAGUCAGACUACGAAUGAUAAGAUCCGUGGUCAAAAGGGAAACAGCCCAGAUCAUCAGCUAAGGUCCCAAAGUGUAAGUUAAGUGGAAAAGGAUGUGGGAUUUCUAAGACAACUAGGAUGUUGGCUUAGAAGCAGCCACUCAUUUAAAGAGUGCGUAAUAGCUCACUAGUCGAGAGGUCCUGCGCCGAAGAUGUCCGGGGCUAAAACUUACCACCGAAGCUAUGGAUGUACACUACGUGUACGUGGUAGAGGAGCUUCCUGUAUGGGUUGAAGUCGUACCGAAAGGAACGGUGGACUGUACAGGAGUGAGUAUGCUGGCAUAAGUAGCGAGAAAUAAGUGAGAAUCUUAUUGGUCGAAAACCUAAGGUUUCCUGGGGAAGGUUCGUCCGCCCAGGGUAAGUCGGGACCUAAGCCGAGGCCGAAAGGCGUAGGUGAUGGACAAUCGGUUGAAAUUCCGAUACCGCAUAAAAGCGUUUGACAAAAGGGAUGACGCAGGAGGAUAAGGUGUGCAUACAAAUGGAUGUAUGUCUAAGCACCGAGUCAGGUAUACCAGGGAAAUCCGGUAUAUCAAUGAUGAGGUGUGAUGGGGAACCCGCAAGGGGAAGUACCUGAUUUCACGCUGCCGAGAAAAGUCUCUAUGGAGUUUUUAUGUGCCCGUACCGCAAACCGACACAGGUAGGUGAGGAGAGAAUCCUAAGACCAUCGGAAGAAUUGUUGUUAAGGAACUCGGCAAAUUAGCCCCGUAACUUCGGGAGAAGGGGUGCCAUGGAAACAUGGUCGCAGUGAAUAGGCCCAAGCAACUGUUUAGCAAAAACACAGGUCUCUGCUAAAGCGAAAGCUGAAGUAUAGGGGCUGACGCCUGCCCGGUGCUGGAAGGUUAAGGGGAAGACUUAGCGCACGCGAAGGUCAGAACUUAAGCCCCAGUAAACGGCGGCCGUAACUAUAACGGUCCUAAGGUAGCGAAAUUCCUUGUCGGGUAAGUUCCGACCCGCACGAAUGGCGUAAUGAUUUGAGCACUGUCUCGACAACAAAUCCGGCGAAAUUGUAGUGCAAGUGAAGAUGCUUGCUACCCGCGAUUGGACGGAAAGACCCCGUAGAGCUUUACUGCAGUUUAGCACUGAAUUUCGGUAUUGCCUGUACAGGAUAGGUGGGAGACUAGGAAGCAGUGGCGCCAGCCAUUGCAGAGUCGAUGUUGGGAUACCACCCUGACAGUACUGGAAUUCUAACCGGGCUCCAUGAAACUGGAGACGGGACAAUGUUAGGCGGGCAGUUUGACUGGGGCGGUCGCCUCCUAAAAAGUAACGGAGGCGUACAAAGGUUCCCUCAGAAGGGUUAGAAAUUCUUCGAAGAGUGCAAAGGCAGAAGGGAGCUUGACUGCGACACAUACAGGUGGAGCAGGGACGAAAGUCGGGCUUAGUGAUCCGGUGGUACCUCGUGGGAGGGCCAUCGCUCAACGGAUAAAAGCUACCUCGGGGAUAACAGGCU
rnacentral:rRNA from 1 species